GAUGAAGAACGCAGCGAAAUGCGAUAAGUAGUGUGAAUUGCAGAAUUCAGUGAAUCAUCGAAUCUUUGAACGCACAUUGCGCCCCUUGGUAUUCCAUGGGGCAUGCCUGUUCGAGCGUCAUUUGUACCUUCAAGCUCUGCUUGGUGUUGGGUGUUUGUCUCGCCUCUGCGCGUAGACUCGCCUCAAAACAAUUGGCAGCCGGCGUAUUGAUUUCGGAGCGCAGUACAUCUCGCGCUUUGCACUCAUAACGACGACGUCCAAAAGUACAUUUUUACACUCUUGACCUCGGAUCAGGUAGGGAUACCCGCUGAACUUAAGCAUAUCAAUAAGCGGAGA
rnacentral:misc_RNA from 1 species